GACGAACGCUGGCGGCGCGCUUAACACAUGCAAGUCGAACGGAAAGGCCUGCUUUCCCUUGUGGAUUGCGGGUACUCGAGUGGCGAACGGGUGAGUAACACGUGAGUGAUCUGCCCCCAACUUGGGUAUAAGCCUGGGAAACUGGGUCUAAUUCCCGAUAGGACUGCAGGGUGGUGCCUGUGGUGGAAAACGAUUUUCUAGUGGUUGGGGAUGAGCUCGCGGCCUAUCAGCUUGUUGGUGGGGUAAUGGCCUACCAAGGCGGCGACGGGUAGCCGGCCUGAGAGGGUGGACGGCCACAUUGAGACUGAGAUACGGCCCAGACUCCUACGGGAGGCAGCAGUGGGGAAUAUUGCACAAUGGGCGGAAGCCUGAUGCAGCGACGCCGCGUGGAGGAUGACGGCCUUCGGGUUGUAAACUCCUUUCGACCGCGAGGAAGCCACCUGGUUGGAAGGGUGGUGACGGUAGUGGUAGAAGAAGCACCGGCUAACUACGUG
rnacentral:rRNA from 1 species